rnacentral:lncRNA from 1 species
GAUCCUCGGUAGCGAAGGGCUGGAGGCAAACACCGAGCUCCCCCUGAGCCGCCUGGGAGCAGGGAGGGUUCUGCUACCCUGAGGGGCCCUCCCCGCGGGGCAGAGGAGGCUGUUGGGAAGGUGGGAUGACCUAGGAUUGACCUUGGACUUGACAUCACAGAAGCCAUUUCAACCUUCACAGGGUUUCCUCAGCAGUGCCCCGGAGCAGGGACCGCGCCAGCCAGCAGAAACAGCUAGUUGUUGUCUGCAGUGAAGAAUAAUUGGAAGCAUGGUGCCUGUUUCUUUUCCUGUGGGAGGAAGUCACAGCAUCUACUUCUGAAUCUGUGCUUGCCUUGAGGAAAAACGGCAUGGCACAGGAAUGUGGACGCUUUCAACCAGAGGAUUCUGUACGACGGUGUCGGCACACACUCAUCCUCGUCUACGGCCAAACGUUGGUUUCUCAUUUCUAGAAGAUGAAAGAUGUGAUGACUCAGGAAAAACUGGAAUCUUAGUAACUGUGGUGGGCAUUGAGCCUUGCCGUCCACAAGAGAAAGCUUGCUGCUCGAGAUGUGAGUCUUCAGAUGUUCCUGCCGCCAUAUCUGACAGCUGCUGCCAAGAUUCCCUGGUGGGAUGGACUCUUAUACCUCAACAACCAGAAGCCCAAGUAAACUCUUCUAUAAAUUGAAUGACUCAUGCUUAAAAAAAAAAACAAAAAACAAACUAUCUUUA